rnacentral:misc_RNA from 1 species
CCGCGCGACGACGCUCGGCGACCGCCGCUGCUUCUCGAGGUCUUCCCCGGCGUCUGAUGCGUCUGACUGGUUCGCCGGCGAGCGAAUCUCGCGCGGGCGGAGCUUGCCCUUGGCAUCAACGAUAGCGCGGCUGUCAAGAGACAGCCGCGGGGCCUCCCGGAACUUCCACGACGAUUUGCCGGUGUCCUUGAACUCGAAGACGGGGAGCGGCCUCACAGGGGCGGCCCGCCUCUCCGGUGAGG